UUUUUUUUUGUUUCGUAGAACCGCAUACGCUUAAACAAUGGUUCUUCAAAGGGAAUUCUUGAGAUUCGUUACUAUACUUAUUGUGAAUUAUAACAAUAUGUGUGUACCCACUCGUUAUAAUAAUAUUUUAUAGUAAUAACGACGUUAGUUCGUUAUAAUAUUAUACACCUACCUACAUAUCUAUACUUGCUGUCUGUCGGUGGCGUUUCACACGAAACGGAUUUUAAUGGUUCAUUAAACAUAUCGCGAAUAGUAUUAUCGCGUUUAAAAACCGUUUAUAAAAUAAUAUUACGUCCUUCGGUUGAGAGAAAAAAAAAACAAUGCCUAUAUACCUACUCUUGAAACGCAAGUACCGAAAACGUUAAUGCGUUUUAAAUAUGAUAAUAAUGCGUAUUGUCUCUUACAAUAUAAGUCUAUAGCUGUAUAGGGUUAUAAAGCUAGAAAUUGUGCUAUAAGGUAUACGCGAUGCGCCCGUGAGAACAUAUUUGUUCAAUUAUCGUUUUUAUCGAACGGUCCCGCGGUAAAAAAAAAAUAAAAAUAAUAAACCGAUUUCAAUCGCAAACACAACAGAAUUAAUAACGUGUCAUUAUAUUUUAGGCUCGAUUAUGAUAUCGUGUAUCACACGAACGUAAGAAUAACAUUUUUUUUCCCGUCAAAUUAUUAUAAUCUCUUAAUUGUUAUUUUAAUUAAGUUUUAUGGAUUUUCCACCUGUCUAUGCGUAAUUUUCUAUGCACGAUAAUUAUUAUAUUGUUUUAAUUACAAUAUUUUCAUUCUCAAUAUAAGAGCGAUUUUUUGGUCUCGUCGUCGAGACUUGGUACUAUAAAAUACGCGUGUUCGUUUUUGUAAGAAAGUACUAAUUUUACAAACAUGGGAAACUGAAAACACGGAGAUUAUCGUUGGUGGGAAAUCGCGAACAAAAUUAAAGCGAUAAGAUUCCGUUUGAUUUGAAACGAAAUAUAAUUCGUUUUUUGGCUACGGUUUGUUUCAGAACGAUUUCGAUUGCUUGAUAAUAACAUUGGUCAUAAUAACUAUUUAGUACAAACAAAUGGUUUAAAACAAAAAUCAAUAUUUGUUCACGAAUUUAUUAUAUUCAUGCGGUUUAUUCGAACAAGUCGAUUCGACUUAAUGUUUCCGCCAGAGUGUUUUAUCGUUGACUGUCUUGGUAACUAUUAUAGCAGUACGAGUGUCCGACAAUAUUUUUAUCUUUGUGAUAUGCAUUUAUUACGAAUGAUUUUUAAUAACUAGAAAUAAGUUUACUUAUCCCCUAUGUUUAAUCGAAAUUAAGAUUAAUGUCAAUCAUUUAUCAAUAACUAACGGAUUUAAGAUACGUUCGGUAUUUUCAAUUGACGGACACAAAUAAGUCAGUGUAUAUAACACGACAAAAAUGAUUAUAAAAAAAAAAAUACAUUCCGAUCGAUACAAAUAAAUAAUAUACAAUACGACAAUCAAAAUAUUAUUAUAUAUAGCUGCACUGAUGUAAUUCUUAAUAUUUAAUUGAAAGAAUGAUGCACGUACCCCACAAUAAUAUUAUACGAACUCAGA